AACGAACGCUGGCGGCAGGCCUAACACAUGCAAGUCGAGCGCCCCGCAAGGGGAGCGGCGGACGGGUGAGUAACGCGUGGGAACGUACCCUUUGCUACGGAAUAGCCUCGGGAAACUGGGAGUAAUACCGUAUGUGCCCUUCGGGGGAAAGAUUUAUCGGCAAAGGAUCGGCCCGCGUUGGAUUAGGUAGUUGGUGGGGUAAUGGCCUACCAAGCCGACGAUCCAUAGCUGGUUUGAGAGGAUGAUCAGCCACACUGGGACUGAGACACGGCCCAGACUCCUACGGGAGGCAGCAGUGGGGAAUCUUAGACAAUGGGCGCAAGCCUGAUCUAGCCAUGCCGCGUGAGCGAUGAAGGCCUUAGGGUUGUAAAGCUCUUUCAGUGGGGAAGAUAAUGACUGUACCCACAGAAGAAGCCCCGGCUAACUCCGUGCCAGCAGCCGCGGUAAUACGGAGGGGGCUAGCGUUGUUCGGAAUUACUGGGCGUAAAGCGCACGUAGGCGGACCGGAAAGUCAGAGGUGAAAUCCCAGGGCUCAACCUUGGAACUGCCUUUGAAACUCCUGGUCUUGAGGUCGAGAGAGGUGAGUGGAAUUCCGAGUGUAGAGGUGAAAUUCGUAGAUAUUCGGAGGAACACCAGUGGCGAAGGCGGCUCACUGGCUCGAUACUGACGCUGAGG
rnacentral:rRNA from 1 species